AACGAACGCUGGCGGCAUGCCUAACACAUGCAAGUCGAACGAGACCUUCGGGUCUAGUGGCGCACGGGUGCGUAACGCGUGGGAACCUGCCCUUAGGUUCGGAAUCACUCCCCGAAAGGGGUGCUAAUACCGGUUAAUGUCUUCGGACCAAAGAUUUAUCGCCUUUGGAUGGGCCCGCGUUGGAUUAGCUAGUUGGUAGGGUAAAAGCCUACCAUGGCGACGAUCCAUAGCUGGUCUGAGAGGAUGAUUAGCCACACUGGGACUGAGACACGGCCCAGACUCCUACGGGAGGGAGCAGUGGGGAAUAUUGGGCAAGGGGCGAAAGCCUGAUCCAGCAGUGCCGCGUGAGAGAUGAAGGCCUUAGGGUUGUAAAGCUCUUUGACCCGAGAUGAUAAUGACAGUACCGGGAGAAUAAGCUCCGGCUAACUCCGUG
rnacentral:rRNA from 1 species